rnacentral:rRNA from 1 species
UGGGGAAUUUUGCGCAAUGGACGGAAGUCUGACGCAGCAACGCCGCGUGGGUGAUGAAGGUCUUCGGACUGUAAAACCCUGUCGUCAGGGACGAAGGUUGAGGGGUUAAUAACCCUUUAGCUUGACGGUACCUGGAGAGGAAGCCCCGGCUAACUCUGUGCCAGCAGCCGCGGUAAUACAGAGGGGGCAAGCGUUAUUCGGAAUUAUUGGGCGUAAAGGGCGCGUAGGCGGUUUUUUAAGUCAGAUGUGUAAUCCCCGAGCUCAACUUGGGAACUGCAUCUGAGACUGGAAGGCUAGAGUACUGGAGAGGGUGGUGGAAUUCCUCGUGUAGCGGUGAAAUGCGUAGAGAUGUGGAGGAAUACCGAUGGCGAAGGCAGCCCCCUGGGAUAACACUGACGCUCAUGCACGAAAGCGUGGGGAGCAAACAGGAUUAGAUACCCUGGUAGUCCACGCCCUAAACGAUGUCUACUAGUUGUCGGGUCUUAAUUGACUUGGUAACGCAGCUAACGCGUGAAGUAGACCGCCUGGGGAGUACGGUCGCAAGAUUA